rnacentral:rRNA from 1 species
UACGUAGGGGGCAAGCGUUGUCCGGAUUUAUUGGGCGUAAAGAGCGUGUAGGCGGCUUCACAGGUCCGCUGUGAAAACUCGAGGCUCAACCUCGAGCUGUCGGUGGAAACCGUGUGGCUAGAGUCCGGAAGAGGAGAGUGGAAUUCCCGGUGUAGCGGUGAAAUGCGCAGAUAUCGGGAAGAACACCCGUGGCUAAGGCGGCUCUCUGGGACGGUACUGACGCUGAGACGCGAAAGCGUGGGGAGCGAACAGG